rnacentral:rRNA from 1 species
CUAAGAGCGAAUGGUGGAUGCCUUGACUGGUAAAGGCGAUGAAGGACGUACUAGACUGCGAUAAGCUACGGGGAGCUGUCAAGAAGCUUUGAUCCGUAGAUUUCCGAAUGGGGCAACCCAAUGUAUAGAGAUAUACAUUACCUAUAUAGGAGCGAACGAGGGGAAUUGAAACAUCUUAGUACCCUCAGGAAAAGAAAUCAAUAGAGAUUGCGUCAGUAGCGGCGAGCGAAAGCGCAAGAGGGCAAACCCAGUGCUUGCACUGGGGGUUGUAGGACUGCAAUGUGCAAGAGGUAAGUUUAGCAGAACAUUCUGGAAAGUAUAACCAUAGAGGGUGAUAGUCCCGUAUGCGAAAAACAAACCUUAGCUAGCAGUAUCCUGAGUAGGGCGGGACACGAGGAAUCCUGUCUGAAUCCGGGUCGACCACGAUCCAACCCUAAAUACUAAUACCAGAUCGAUAGUGCACAAGUACCGUGAGGGAAAGGUGAAAAGAACUGAGGUGAUCAGAGUGAAAUAGAACCUGAAACCAUUUGCUUACAAUCAUUCAGAGCCCUAUGUAGCAAUACAGGGUGAUGGACUGCCUUUUGCAUAAUGAGCCUGCGAGUUGUGGUGUCUGGCAAGGUUAAGCAAACGCGAAGCCGUAGCGAAAGCGAGUCUGAAUAGGGCGCUUAGUCAGAUGCUGCAGACCCGAAACGAAGUGAUCUAUCCAUGAGCAAGUUGAAGCUAGUGUAAGAACUAGUGGAGGACUGAACCCAUAGGCGUUGAAAAGCCCCGGGAUGACUUGUGGAUAGGGGUGAAAGGCCAAUCAAACUUCGUGAUAGCUGGUUCUCUCCGAAAUAUAUUUAGGUAUAGCGUUGUGUCGUAAUAUAAGGGGGUAGAGCACUGAAUGGGCUAGGGCAUACACCAAUGUACCAAACCCUAUCAAACUCCGAAUACCUUAUAUGUAAUCACAGCAGUCAGGCGGCGAGUGAUAAAAUCCGUCGUCAAGAGGGAAACAACCCAGACUACCAGCUAAGGUCCCUAAAUCUUACUUAAGUGGAAAACGAUGUGAAGUUACUUAAACAACCAGGAGGUUGGCUUAGAAGCAGCCAUCCUUUAAAGAAAGCGUAAUAGCUCACUGGUCUAGUGAUUUUGCGCGGAAAAUAUAACGGGGCUAAAGUAAGUACCGAAGCUGUAGACUUGCACACAACUUAGAUUAUUUAAGUUUAGAAUAUGAGAAACUAAGUUAUAUGUUUAGUUAUAUUUUUACUGAUUUUUAUAGAGUAAAGAUAGAAAUAAAACUUAGUAAAAUCAGUAAAAAUAUUCUUAGACUAAAGUUAAGUAGUUUAAGUUGUGUGCAAGUGGUAGGAGAGCGUUCUAUUUGCGUCGAAGGUAUACCGGUAAGGAGUGCUGGAGCGAAUAGAAGUGAGCAUGCAGGCAUGAGUAGCGAUAAUUAAUGUGAGAAUCAUUAACGCCGUAAACCCAAGGUUUCCUACGCGAUGCUCGUCAUCGUAGGGUUAGUCGGGUCCUAAGUCGAGUCCGAAAGGGGUAGACGAUGGCAAAUUGGUUAAUAUUCCAAUACCAACAUUAGUGUGCGAUGGAAGGACGCUUAGGGCUAAGGGGGCUAGCGGAUGGAAGUGCUAGUCUAAGGUCGUAGGAGGUUAUACAGGCAAAUCCGUAUAACAAUACUCCGAGAACUGAAAGGCUUUUUGAAGUCUUCGGAUGGAUAGAAGAACCCCUGAUGCCGUCGAGCCAAGAAAAGUUUCUAAGUUUAGCUAAUGUUGCCCGUACCGUAAACCGACACAGGUGGGUGGGAUGAGUAUUCUAAGGCGCGUGGAAGAACUCUCUUUAAGGAACUCUGCAAAAUAGCACCGUAUCUUCGGUAUAAGGUGUGGUUAGCUUUGUAUUAGGAUUUACUCCGAAAGCAAGGAAACUUACAACAAAGAGUCCCUCCCGACUGUUUACCAAAAACACAGCACUCUGCUAACUCGUAAGAGGAUGUAUAGGGUGUGACGCCUGCCCGGUGCUCGAAGGUUAAUUGAUGGGGUUAGCAUUAGCGAAGCUCUUGAUCGAAGCCCGAGUAAACGGCGGCCGUAACUAUAACGGUCCUAAGGUAGCGAAAUUCCUUGUCGGUUAAAUACCGACCUGCAUGAAUGGCGUAACGAGAUGGGAGCUGUCUCAAAGAGGGAUCCAGUGAAAUUGUAGUGGAGGUGAAAAUUCCUCCUACCCGCGGCAAGACGGAAAGACCCCGUGGACCUUUACUACAGCUUGACACUGCUACUUGGAUAAGAAUGUGCAGGAUAGGUGGGAGGCUUUGAGUAUAUGACGCCAGUUGUAUAUGAGCCAUUGUUGAGAUACCACUCUUUCUUAUUUGGGUAGCUAACCAGCUUGAGUUAUCCUCAAGUGGGACAAUGUCUGGUGGGUAGUUUGACUGGGGCGGUCGCCUCCCAAAUAAUAACGGAGGCUUACAAAGGUUGGCUCAGAACGGUUGGAAAUCGUUCGUAGAGUAUAAAGGUAUAAGCCAGCUUAACUGCAAGACAUACAAGUCAAGCAGAGACGAAAGUCGGUCUUAGUGAUCCGGUGGUUCUGUGUGGAAGGGCCAUCGCUCAAAGGAUAAAAGGUACCCCGGGGAUAACAGGCUGAUCUCCCCCAAGAGCUCACAUCGACGGGGAGGUUUGGCACCUCGAUGUCGGCUCAUCGCAUCCUGGGGCUGGAGCAGGUCCCAAGGGUAUGGCUGUUCGCCAUUUAAAGCGGUACGCGAGCUGGGUUCAGAACGUCGUGAGACAGUUCGGUCCCUAUCUGCCGUGGGCGUAAGAAGAUUGAAGAGAUUUGACCCUAGUACGAGAGGACCGGGUUGAACAAACCACUGGUGUAGCUGUUGUUCUGCCAAGAGCAUCGCAGCGUAGCUAAGUUUGGAAAGGAUAAACGCUGAAAGCAUCUAAGCGUGAAACCAACUCUAAGAUGAAUCUUCUCUAAGCUCUCUAGAAGACUACUAGUUUGAUAGGCUGGGUGUGUAAUGGAUGAAAGUCCUUUAGCUGACCAGUACUAAUAGAGCGUUUGGCUUAUCUUUA